CUUGGGUCACUGGGCGGCCAGGCCAGAGGUGGGCCUCUAGGUGCCCCCCAUUCUGGAUGCUGAGGGUCCCUGUGAGGGUCUGGCGGCAGAGGCCUGCGCUUAUGGGUCAGCAGCUAGGACUGAUGGGUUGAAUAAGAAGGGCCCAAGUUAGGCCAGUUGUUCUCACAGACCCAGAGGUCCCUAGAGUUUAUGAUGCCCAGAGUCUAGGAGAGGGAAAUGCACACACAUGCCCUCGAGGACACCAGCAUCCUGACAUCCAAGUUACUGUACUGCCCUGGUUAGCAAGAAAGAACAUCUGUUCCCUUCUCUAUGCAAUUGUUACAGUAACUGUUGUUACAUUUCUUAAGAUACAUAGCUAUAUAUGUAGUCACUCUGCAAACACACACACUCUGAUAGACACACGAUUGCACUCAUGGACACAAAAACGGAAAAUAAACAUGCGGACAGCUACUCCCAGUCCCCAGACCUGACCCUCAUGUGACACCUUCACCAGACAUGGUACUUUCUGGGACCUGUAAUGUGUGUUGUGAUGCCCAGCACAUUUGUUGGAUGGUACAAAGGGAAUUAUGAUACUUAAUCAAAAAGCCAUACAAGCCAGAUAACAUUAAGGCUUAACGGUAACAAUAGGUGAUUCAGUUAGGAAAUUAAUGUUAGAGAUCGGUUUUCCUUGUGGAAAUCAGUGGUAUUCAAAUGCCUGAAUUGGCUACCCGGUUUUAGAGCUGCUCUCCAUGUAUGAGCAGGACAUAGGAUUCACUCUCUGGAAUGCUUCUGUAGGCAGGACUUUGAAAUGACCCUGUCCUCAGCCUGGAGGAUGCGGUAUUCUGAUUGUCUGGUGCUGUGUCAACUGGGCCUGCCUCUGGGAUAGUGUUGUGGCUGCCCCACGAGAACCCUAUAUGCCAGUUCCAGAAGCAAAAACAAAAAAAGUUCGGGUACAGCGGCUCACACCUGUAAUCCCAGCUCUUAGGGAGAUGGAAACUGGAGGAUCACUUGAGGCCAGGAGUUCAAGACCAGCCUGGGCAACAUAGCAAGACCCAGUCUCUUAAAAGAAAAUUAAAAAGAAAGAGUAAAUAAAGUUCCAGAAGCUUUGCUCUCCUUAUCCAAGCAGCGUUUGUACUUUGGCACUGGAAAGUGCGGGAGUCAGGGGUUUGUGAGAGCACGUGUUGGUUGUCGCAUUGGUCAGGAUGCACCCAUCACUCUGUAUCCUCCGGCUAAGGAGUGCUGGAGAGCCGUGAUGCCCACUGGCUGUUGUCCCGGGCUUGUCACUCAAAGACGGGACAGAUGUCUCCUUCCAGUUCUGGCCCAGACUGUCCUCUGAGCUGGGAGCACAGGGCUCCUCCCUGAGUAGAUGACCUGUCAGGUCAGCUGGAUCCAGAGGUCCCACAACCUCUCAAGGCAG
rnacentral:lncRNA from 1 species